rnacentral:piRNA from 1 species
UAAAAGGCAUCUCUUGAUUUGUGACUGACGU